GAUGAACGCUAGCUACAGGCUUAACACAUGCAAGUCGAGGGGAAACGAUAGAGAAAGCUUGCUUUUUCUAGGCGUCGACCGGCGCACGGGUGAGUAACGCGUAUCCAACCUGCCCACCACUUGGGGAUAACCUUGCGAAAGUAAGACUAAUACCCAAUGACGUCUCUAGAAGACAUCUGAAAGAGAUUAAAGAUUUAUCGGUGAUGGAUGGGGAUGCGUCUGAUUAGCUUGUUGGCGGGGUAACGGCCCACCAAGGCGACGAUCAGUAGGGGUUCUGAGAGGAAGGUCCCCCACAUUGGAACUGAGACACGGUCCAAACUCCUACGGGAGGCAGCAGUGAGGAAUAUUGGUCAAUGGACGAGAGUCUGAACCAGCCAAGUAGCGUGCAGGAUGACGGCCCUAUGGGUUGUAAACUGCUUUUAUAAGGGAAUAAAGUGAGUCUCGUGAGACUUUUUGCAUGUACCUUAUGAAUAAGGACGGCUAAUUCCGUG
rnacentral:rRNA from 1 species